AUAGAGCCUUAGUAGUAUAAUUAAUACACUGGUCUU
rnacentral:tRNA from 1 species